CUCACCUAACAUUCUACGCUUCUGUAACGAGAGAGUGUGACCUAAGGUGUGGGGACGGCGAACAGACCAGCAAACCAAAAAGAGCGGGUUACACUACAUGGUGGCUCGGAGACUGGUAAUGGAGACUUACAGGCGGAUUCUGGCUCAGAAGCUGUUAAAUCGUGCCCAGGAGAGAAAGCUUUUAGAGAUGGAGCCUUUUUCUAGGCCAACAGAAAUGAGCCAAUGAAGAGGAAGCCAAUGAAAAGGAAAAGUGUGAGAGGAGAAAAUGCAAAUAAGACGCUCUAAUGCCAACUCACACAUCUCUGCCAUGUCGAACUUCAUCCUGCUCUUUGGACUGACGGCGGCGCUGUCUGGCAGACGUGGCCG